AGUGAACGCUGGCGGUAGGCCUAACACAUGCAAGUCGAACGGCAGCACAGUAAGAGCUUGCUCUUACGGGUGGCGAGUGGCGGACGGGUGAGGAAUACAUCGGAAUCUACUUUUUCGUGGGGGAUAACGUAGGGAAACUUACGCUAAUACCGCAUACGACCUACGGGUGAAAGCAGUGGAUCUUCGGACCUUGCGCGAUUGAAUGAGCCGAUGUCGGAUUAGCUAGUUGGCGGGGUAAAGGCCCACCAAGGCGACGAUCCGUAGCUGGUCUGAGAGGAUGAUCAGCCACACUGGAACUGGGACACGGUCCAGACGCCUACGGGAGGCAGCAGUGGGGAAUAUUGGACAAUGGGCGCAAGCCUGGUCCAGCCAUACCGCGUGGGUGAAGAAGGCCUUCGGGUUGUAAAGCCCUUUUGUUGGGAAAGAAAAGCAGCAGGUUAAUACCCCGCUGUUCUGACGGUACCCAAAGAAUAAGCACCGGCUAACUUCGUG
rnacentral:rRNA from 1 species